UUUUAGUAUGUAGUGCGGUUUUGUUAUGUUCGGUAAAAGAUCGGAAGUAAAACGAAAAGAAUCAAACAAGCGCGGGAAGAGGCAACUGCAGAAAUAGAGAAAUAUCGGCAAGAGAGGGAAAAG